UACGUAGGGGGCAAGCGUUGUUCGGAAUUAUUGGGCGUAAAGAGCGUGUAGGCGGCCUGAUAAGUCGGCUGUGAAAGUCAAGGGCUCAACCCUUGAAUGCCGGCCGAUACUGUCAGGCUAGAGUCCGGAAGAGGCGAGUGGAAUUCCUGGUGUAGCGGUGAAAUGCGCAGAUAUCAGGAGGAACACCAAUGGCGAAGGCAGCUCGCUGGGACGGUACUGACGCUGAGACGCGAAAGCGUGGGGAGCGAACAGG
rnacentral:rRNA from 1 species